CUUGGUCAUUUAGAGGAAGUAAAAGUCGUAACAAGGUUUCCGUAGGUGAACCUGCGGAAGGAUCAUUACCGAGUACCGGGGCCCUAGGUCUCUACUCCCACCCUUUGUCGACUGAAACUGUUGCUUUGGCGGGCCGGCUAAUGCCGCCGGCUUCAGCUGGAGAGCGCCCGCCAGAGGCCCUAAAACUCGAUUUAAAAUUGAGUUCUGAGUUAUAAAAUAAUAGAAGCAAAACUUUCAACAACGGAUCUCUUGGUUCUGGCAUCGAUGAAGAACGCAGCGAAAUGCGAUAAGUAAUGUGAAUUGCAGAAUUCAGUGAAUCAUCGAAUCUUUGAACGCACAUUGCGCCCUUUGGUAUUCCUUAGGGCACACCUGUUCGAGCGUCAUUACACCACUCAAGCCUAGCUUGGUAUUGGGCGCCGCGGCUUCGUCGCGCGCCUCAAAGACGUCGGCCGAGUCUUCAAGUCUCUUAGCGUUGUGCAAACUCUCGCUGGUGAGGAUUGAUGGCCCGCGCCGUUAAACCUUUUUUUCAAGGUUGACCUCGGAUCAGGUGGGGAUACCCGCUGAACUUAAGCAUAUCAAUAAGCGGAGGA
rnacentral:rRNA from 1 species